rnacentral:rRNA from 1 species
AUUGAACGCUGGCGGCAUGCCUUCACAUGCAAGUCGAACGGCAGCACGGGUGCUUGCACCUGGUGGCGAGUGGCGAACGGGUGAGUAAUACAUCGGAACAUGUCCUGUAGGGGGGGAUAGCCCGGCGAAAGCCGGAUUAAUACCGCAUACGAUCUACGGAUGAAAGCGGGGGACCUUCGGGCCUCGCGCUAUAGGGUUGGCCGAUGGCUGAUUAGCUAGUUGGUGGGGUAAAGGCCUACCAAGGCGACGAUCAGUAGCUGGUCUGAGAGGACGACCAGCCACACUGGGACUGAGACACGGCCCAGACUCCUACGGGAGGCAGCAGUGGGGAAUUUUGGACAAUGGGCGAAAGCCUGAUCCAGCAAUGCCGCGUGUGUGAAGAAGGCCUUCGGGUUGUAGAGCACUUUUGUCCGGAAAGAAAUCCUUGGCCCUAAUACGGUCGGGGGAUGACGGUACCGGAAGAAUAAGCACCGGCUAACUACGUG